rnacentral:rRNA from 1 species
AUGAACGCUAGCUACAGGCUUAACACAUGCAAGUCGAGGGGCAGCAUGGUCUUAGCUUGCUAAGGCCGAUGGCGACCGGCGCACGGGUGAGUAACACGUAUCCAACCUGCCGUCUACUCUUGGACAGCCUUCUGAAAGGAAGAUUAAUACAAGAUGGCAUCAUGAGUCCGCAUGUUCACAUGAUUAAAGGUAUUCCGGUAGACGAUGGGGAUGCGUUCCAUUAGAUAGUAGGCGGGGUAACGGCCCACCUAGUCUUCGAUGGAUAGGGGUUCUGAGAGGAAGGUCCCCCACAUUGGAACUGAGACACGGUCCAAACUCCUACGGGAGGCAGCAGUGAGGAAUAUUGGUCAAUGGGCGAGAGCCUGAACCAGCCAAGUAGCGUGAAGGAUGACUGCCCUAUGGGUUGUAAACUUCUUUUAUAAAGGAAUAAAGUCGGGUAUGGAUACCCGUUUGCAUGUACUUUAUGAAUAAGGAUCGGCUAACUCCGUGCCAGCAGCCGCGGUAAUACGGAGGAUCCGAGCGUUAUCCGGAUUUAUUGGGUUUAAAGGGAGCGUAGAUGGAUGUUUAAGUCAGUUGUGAAAGUUUGCGGCUCAACCGUAAAAUUGCAGUUGAUACUGGAUAUCUUGAGUGCAGUUGAGGCAGGCGGAAUUCGUGGUGUAGCGGUGAAAUGCUUAGAUAUCACGAAGAACUCCGAUUGCGAAGGCAGCCUGCUAAGCUGCAACUGACAUUGAGGCUCGAAAGUGUGGGUAUCAAACAGGAUUAGAUACCCUGGUAGUCCACACGGUAAACGAUGAAUACUCGCUGUUUGCGAUAUACUGCAAGCGGCCAAGCGAAAGCGUUAAGUAUUCCACCUGGGGAGUACGCCGGCAACGGUGAAACUCAAAGGAAUUGACGGGGGCCCGCACAAGCGGUGGAGUAUGUGGUUUAAUUCGACGCAACGCGAAGAACCUUACCAGGUCUUGACAUCCCCUGCAAAGACAUAGAGAUAUGUUGGAGGUUAUCAGGGAGACAGGUGGUGCAUGGUUGUCGUCAGCUCGUGUCGUGAGAUGUUGGGUUAAGUCCCGCAACGAGCGCAACCCCUAUCUUCAGUAGCCAGCGGUAAGGCCGGGCACUCUGGAGAGACUGCCAGGGAUAACCUGGAGGAAGGUGGGGAUGACGUCAAAUCAGCACGGCCCUUACGUCCGGGGCUACACACGUGUUACAAUGGGGGGUACAGAGGGCCGCUACCACGCGAGUGGAUGCCAAUCCCCAAAACCUCUCUCAGUUCGGACUGGAGUCUGCAACCCGACUCCACGAAGCUGGAUUCGCUAGUAAUCGCGCAUCAGCCACGGCGCGGUGAAUACGUUCCCGGGCCUUGUACACACCGCCCGUCAAGCCAUGGGAGCCGGGGGUACCUGAAGUGCGUAACCGCGAGGAGCGCCCUAGGGUAAAACUGGUGACUGGGGCU